rnacentral:rRNA from 1 species
AUUGAACGCUGGCGGCAGGCUUAACACAUGCAAGUCGAACGAGUGGCGGACGGGUGAGUAAUGCUUGGGAAACUGCCUGAUGGAGGGGGAUAACUACUGGAAACGGUAGAUAAUACCGCAUACCAUCAGAUGUGCCCAGAUGGGAUUAGAUAGUAGGUGGGGUAACGGCUCACCUAGGCGACGAUCCCUAGCUGGGCUGAUAGGAGGACCAGCCACACUGGAACUGAGACACGGUCCAGACUCCUACGGGAGGCAGCAGUGGGGAAUAUUGCACAAUGGGCGCAAGCCUGAUGCAGCCAUGCCGCGUGUGUGAAGAAGGCCGUCGGGUUGUAAAGCACUUUCAGCGGGGAGGCGUUACCCGCAGAAGAAGCACCGGCUAACUCCGUGCCAGCAGCCGCGGUAAUUC